CCUACGGGCGGCAGCAGUGAGGAAUAUUGGUCAAUGGCCGCAGGGCUGAACCAGCCAAGUCGCGUGAGGGAUGACGGUCCUAUGGAUUGUAAACCUCUUUUGUCAGGGAGCAAAGGGCGCCACGUGUGGCGCUUUGCGAGUACCUGAAGAAAAAGCAUCGGCUAACUCCGUGCCAGCAGCCGCGGUAAUACGGAGGAUGCGAGCGUUAUCCGGAUUUAUUGGGUUUAAAGGGUGCGCAGGCGGAAUGUCAAGUCAGCGGUAAAAUUUCGGGGCUCAACCCCGUCGUGCCGUUGAGACUGGCGUUCUUGAGUGAGCGAGAAGUAUGCGGAAUGCGUGGUGUAGCGGUGAAAUGCAUAGAUAUCACGCAGAACUCCGAUUGCGAAGGCAGCAUACCGGCGCUCAACUGACGCUCAUGCACGAAAGCGUGGGUAUCGAACAGGAUUAGAUACCCCAGUAGUC
rnacentral:rRNA from 1 species